UACGGCGACUGCGAAUGGCUCAUUAUAUAAGUUAUCGUUUAUUUGAUAGCACUUUACUACUUGGAUAACCGUGGUAAUUCUAGAGCUAAUACAUGCUAAAAAUCCCGACUUCGGAAGGGAUGUGUUUAUUAGAUUAAAAGCCAAUGCCCUCUGGGCUCUCUGGUGAAUCAUGAUAACCGCUCGAAUCGCAGGGCCUCGUGCCGGCGAUGGUUCAUUCAAAUUUCUUCCCUAUCAACUUUCGAUGUUUGGGUAUUGGCCAAACAUGGUUACAACGGGUAACGGAGGGUUAGGGCUCGACCCCGGAGAAGGAGCCUGAGAAACGGCUACUACAUCCAAGGAAGGCAGCAGGCGCGCAAAUUACCCAAUCCCGACACGGGGAGGUAGUGACAAUAAAUACUGAUACAGGGCUCUUUCGGGUCUUGUAAUUGGAAUGAGUACAAUUUAAAUCCCUUAACGAGGAACAAUUGGAGGGCAAGUCUGGUGCCAGCAGCCGCGGUAAUUCCAGCUCCAAUAGCGUAUAUUAAAGUUGUUGUGGUUAAAAAGCUCGUAGUUGACCUUUGGGCCUGGCUGGCCGGUCCGCCUCACCGCGUGUACUGGUCCGGCCGGGCCUUUCCCUCUGUGGAACCCCAUGCCCUUCACUGGGCGUGGCGGGGAAACAGGACUUUUACUUUGAAAAAAUUAGAGUGCUCCAGGCAGGCCUAUGCUCGAAUACAUUAGCAUGGAAUAAUAGAAUAGGACGUGCGGUUCUAUUUUGUUGGUUUCUAGGACCGCCGUAAUGAUUAAUAGGGACAGUCGGGGGCAUCAGUAUUCAAUUGUCAGAGGUGAAAUUCUUGGAUCUAUUGAAGACUAACUACUGCGAAAGCAUUUGCCAAGGAUGUUUUCAUUAAUCAAGAACGAAAGUUAGGGGAUCGAAGACGAUCAGAUACCGUCGUAGUCCUGACCGUAAACUAUGCCGACUAGGGAUCGGACGAUGUUAUUUUUUGACUCGUUCGGCACCUUACGAGAAAUCAAAGUGCUUGGGCUCCAGGGGAGUAUGGUCGCAGGCUGAAACUUAAGAAUUGACGAGGCACACAGGGUGG
rnacentral:rRNA from 1 species